rnacentral:ncRNA from 1 species
AAAAAAACGAUGAUCGAGAAGAGUAGCUUGCCGCUCGCCAUCCAGGGAGAAAACGCCAUAGACUGGGAGCGUUUUUAUGGUCGAGGCAAGUGAAUUCACCUCGGGAGUUGACGCUUGGACCAUUUUGUGCGUGCAAAAUGUAAAGGCGUUCCGGUGAACAGCCGUUAUUAGAAGGAAGUGAGCCGUGCUUAUCGCAUAGCUAACAAGGGUGGUACCGCGAGUGCACUCGUCCCUUAU